CCAAACCAGCUCAGCCAAUUAGAGCUCCAGUUGUCACUCCUACCCACACUGGGCCUGGGGGUGAAGGGAAGUGUUUAUUAGGGGUACAUGUGAAGCCGUCCAGAAGUGUCAGAGUCUUUGUAGCUUUGAAAGUCACCUAGGUUAUUUGGGCAUGCUCUCCUGAGUCCUCUGCUAGUUAAGCUCUCUGAAAAGAAGGUGGCAGACCCGGUUUGCUGAUCGCCCCAGGGAUCAGGAGGUAACAGAAAAGAAGAAAAACAUAUUAUUUGACCUAAGUGACAACACUGGGAAAAUGGAAGUACUGGGGGUUAGAAACGAGGACACAAUGAAAUGUAAGGAAGGAGAUAAGGUUCGACUUACAUUCUUCACACUGUCAAAAAAUGGAGAAAAACUACAGCUGACAUCUGGAGUUCAUAGCACCAUAAAGGUUAUUAAGGCCAAAAAAAAAACAUAGAGAAGUAAAAAGGACCAAUUCAAGCCAACUGGUCUAAGCAGCAUUUAAUUGAAGAAUAUGUGAUACAGCCUCUUCAAUCAGAUUGUAAGUUACCUGAAAGCUGCAGUUCACAGGCUCCUCUCUCCACCAAAUUAGGAUAGAAUAAUUGCUGGAUAAACAAAUUCAGAAUAUCAACAGAUGAUCACAAUAAACAUCUGUUUCUCAUUC
rnacentral:lncRNA from 10 species